GUUUGGUAGGGUCCUACAUAGAUUCUAUUUGGAGGUAAACUCUUAACAGAUGGAUAAACUCUAUUUCUGACAUUUGAGCGGUGGGUAAACUCCAUUUACUUGCGUUUAAAAUGCGGAUCAGGACAGGCCUGUUCAGGGCUGUUCAAUAGAAUAUUUGCAAUAAUCAUGGACAAUCAAUAAACCU